AUUGAACGCUGGCGGCAGGCCUAACACAUGCAAGUCGAACGAGUGGCGGACGGGUGAGUAAUGUCUGGGAAACUGCCUGAUGGAGGGGGCUCACUACUGGCAACGGUAGCUAAUACCGCAUACCAUCGGAUGUUCCCAGAUGGGAUUAGCUAGUAGGUGGGGUAAAGGCUCACCUAGGCGACGAUCCCUAGCUGGGCUGAGAGGAUGACCAGCCACACUGGAACUGAGACACGGUCCCGACUCCUACGGUAGGCAGCAGUGGGGAAUAUUGCACAAGGGGCGCAAGCCUGAUACAGCCAUGCCGCGUGUAUGAAGAAGGCCUUCGGGUUGUAAAGUACUUUCAGCGGGGAGGCGUUACCCGCAGAAGAAGCACCGGCUAACUCCGUGCCAGCAGCCGCGGUAAUUC
rnacentral:rRNA from 1 species